GAUGAAGAACGUAGCGAAAUGCGAUAAGUAAUGUGGAUUGCAGAAUUCAGUGAAUCAUCGAAUCUUUGAACGCAACUUGCGCUCUCUGGUAUUCCGGAGAGCAUGCCUGUUUGAGUAUCAUGAAAUCUCAACCAUUAGGGUUUCUUAAUGGCUUGGAAUUGGGUGUUGCCAGUCGCCUGGCUCGCCUUAAAAGAGUUAGCGUGUCUAACUUGUCUAUCUGGCGUAAUAAGUUUCGCUGGUGUCGGCUUGAGAAGUACGCUUCUAAUCGUCUUCGGACAAUUCUUGAACUCUGGUCUCAAAUCAGGUAGGGCUACCCGCUGAACUUAAGCAUAUCAAUAAGCGGAGGA
rnacentral:misc_RNA from 1 species